ensembl:miRNA
GCCCCGGCUUCCCGCGCCCCCAAUCGGGGCCACCAACAGCAGUGGCGGCGGAGGCGGAGGCGGGGGCAGUGGC